AGCUUUGCGCAGUGGCGGUAUCGUAGCCAAUGAGGUUUAUUAGAGGAGCGAUUACUGCUAAUUGAAAACCUUGCUGGGGCGCCUGGGUGGCGCAGUCGGUUAAGCGUCUGACUUCAGCCAGGUCACGAUCUCGC